AGAAAAGCUUCUAGGGAGACUUGCGUGCCCGUACCGCAAACCGACACCGGUAGAUGAGUUGAAUAUACUAAGGGGCUCGGGAGAACCUUCGUUAAGGAAUUAGGCAAAUUAGAUCCGUAACUUCGGGAGAAGGAUCGCCUGUGUAGGAUGAGGUAGCAGACGCUGCCGAGUCUGAAAAGGCCGCAGAGAAAUGGCUCUAUCAACUGUUUACCAAAAACACAGGUCUGUGCGAAGUCGUGAGACGAAGUAUACAGGCUGACGCCUGCCCAGUGCCGGAAGGUUAAGGGGAGAGGUUAACGCUUUGAACCGAAGCCCCGGUGAACGGCGGCCGUAACUAUAACGGUCCUAAGGUAGCGAAAUUCCUUGUCGGGUAAGUUCCGACCCGCACGAAAGGCGUAAUGAAUGGAGCACUGUCUCAACGAAGGACCCGGUG
rnacentral:rRNA from 1 species